rnacentral:pre_miRNA from 2 species
UCGACAAUGAGAUAUGUUUGGGUUACUUGGUGCUGUGCUCUAUCCUCUUACACCAGUGACCAAACAUAUUCACAUUGUU